UGAACUUAAGCAUAUCAAUAAGCGGAGGAAAAGAAACCAACAGGGAUUGCCCUAGUAACGGCGAGUGAAGCGGCAACAGCUCAAAUUUGAAAUCUGGCCCCAGGCCCGAGUUGUAAUUUGCAGAGGAUGCUUUUGGCGCGGUGCCUUCCAAGUUCCCUGGAACGGGACGCCACAGAGGGUGAGAGCCCCGUCGGGUCGUGCAACCAAGCCUUUGUAAAGCUCCUUCGACGAGUCGAGUAGUUUGGGAAUGCUGCUCUAAAUGGGAGGUAUAUGUCUUCUAAAGCUAAAUACCGGCCAGAGACCGAUAGCGCACAAGUAGAGUGAUCGAAAGAUGAAAAGCACUUUGAAAAGAGAGUUAAAAAGCACGUGAAAUUGUUGAAAGGGAAGCGUUCAUGACCAGACUUGGGCCCGGUCGAUCAUCCAGCGUUCUCGCUGGUGCACUCGGCCGGCCCAGGCCAGCAUCAGUUCGCGCCGGGGGACAAAGGUUCGGGGAAUGUGGCCCCCCCUCGCGGGGGGUGUUAUAGCCCGGUUCAAAUGCCCUGGCGCGGACUGAGGUCCGCGCGUCUGCAAGGAUGCUGGCGUAAUGGUCAUCAACGACCCGUCUUGAAACACGGACCAAGGAGUCGUCUUCGUAUGCGAGUGUUUGGGCGUCAAACCCCGGCGCGUAAUGAAAGUGAACGCAGGUGAGAGCUUCGGCGCAUCAUCGACCGAUCCUGAUGUUCUCGGACGGAUUUGAGUAAGAGCAUACGGGGCCGGACCCGAAAGAAGGUGAACUAUGCCUGUGUAGGGUGAAGCCAGAGGAAACUCUGGUGGAGGCUCGCAGCGGUUCUGACGUGCAAAUCGAUCGUCAAACAUGGGCAUGGGGGCGAAAGACUAAUCGAACCUUCUAGUAGCUGGUUUCCGCCGAAGUUUCCCUCAGGAUAGCAGUGUUGAGCUCAGUUUUAUGAGGUAAAGCGAAUGAUUAGGGACUCGGGGGCGCUUUUUAGCCUUCAUCCAUUCUCAAACUUUAAAUAUGUAAGAAGCCCUUGUUACUUGGUUGAACGUGGGCAUUCGAAUGUAUCAACACUAGUGGGCCAUUUUUGGUAAGCAGAACUGGCGAUGCGGGAUGAACCGAACGCGAGGUUAAGGUGCCAGAGUAGACGCUCAUCAGACACCACAAAAGGUGUUAGUACAUCUAGACAAUCGGACUGUGGCCAUGGAAGUCGGAAUCAGCUAAGGACUGUGUAACAACUCACCGAUCGAAUGUACUAGCCCUGAAAAUGGAUGGCGCUCAAGCGUCUCACCCAUACCUCGCCCUCAGGGUAGGAACGAUGCCCUGAGGAGUAGGCGGACGUGGGGGUCAGUGACGAAGCCUAGGGCGCGAGCCCGGGUCGAAC
rnacentral:rRNA from 1 species